rnacentral:SRP_RNA from 17 species
AAGCAGGGAGGGCGGAAACGAGGGAGGGAGGAGGAGAAGGACGCGGGCGAGAAGGAUGCCAAGAAGGCUAAGCCUGAGGCUGGCAUCACGAUCGAGCAGCGCCUCCUCUCCGGGCAG